rnacentral:rRNA from 1 species
CGCCGCCCCCGGGCCUCGCGCGCGCCAGAGGAUAACCAAACUCUUUUUAUCAACGUCGUCCGAGCACUAUACAAUAGUUAAAACUUUCAACAACGGAUCUCUUGGUUCUGGCAUCGAUGAAGAACGCAGCGAAAUGCGAUAAGUAAUGUGAAUUGCAGAAUUCAGUGAAUCAUCGAAUCUUUGAACGCACAUUGCGCCCCUUGGUAUUCCGGGGGGCAUGCCUGUUCGAGCGUCAUUUCAACCCUCAAGCGCAGCUUGGUAUUGAGCCCAUGUCAGCGAUGGCAGGCUCCAAAGUCAGUGGCGGCGCCGCUGGGCCCUGAACGUAGUAAUAUCUCUCGUUACAGGCGCUCGGCGUGCUUCUGCCAAAACCCCAACUUUCUAUGGUUGACCUCGGAUCAGGUAGGGAUACCCGCUGAACUUAAGCAUAUCAAUAAGCGGAGGAAAAGAAACCAACAGGGAUUGCCCUGUAACG